rnacentral:rRNA from 1 species
GUUAGGAAUAUUGGACAAUGGGCGAAAGCCUGAUCCAGCCAUGCCGCGUGAACGAUGAAGGCCUUCGGGUUGUAAAGUUCUUUAGCCGAUGAUUAUAAUGACUGUAGUCGGAAAAUAAGCCCCGGCUAACUUCGUGCCAGCAGCCGCGGUAAUACGAAGGGGGCGAGCGUUAUUCGGAAUCACUGGGCGUAAAGCGUGCGUAGGCGGUUUUGAAAGUUAGGAGUGAAAGCCCAGGGCUCAACCUUGGAAUUGCUCUUAAAACUGCAAGGCUCGAAUCUCGGAGAGGAUAGCGGAAUUUCCAGUGUAGCAGUGAAAUGCGUAGAUAUUGGAAGGAACACCAGUGGCGUAAGCGGCUAUCUGGACGAGUAUUGACGCUGAGGCACGAAAGCGUGGGGAUCAAACAGGAUUAGAUACCCGAGUAGUCC